UGAGCUGUGAGGACUAAACUGGUGUUGUUUUAAGCUGUUAUUCAGUAAGAGGCAUGUUUAAGCAAGCUAAGGAAGCUGACCAGACAUCGCAUUCAGAUGGGAGAACCAAGCACCUUCCCUGGAAACGGAGCACAUGAUACCUGAGAGGAAGGACUCAGAACCGCAAUGGAGCAAGACAUAAAUAUUCAUCCGUGCAUUCAGGCUGGCAAGUGCUUGAUGGAUCUACCCUGUCUCUUUCUUUCC